GACAGUGGUAGUUCAGUGGUUAAGAUGUUGUACUUGUGCUUGGAAGCUUGUGAGUUCAAAUUCCAGCACUGCCA